AAUAAUGAGAAAGGCUCAUGAAAUUAUUUGUUAUCCAGAAAUAACCUUUGCAAGUAAUGUUGGUAAGUAUAGGAAAAGGAAAAAAUCUUUACCAUUUUCUUUCUCAUCUUCAGUAUAACUGUGGUAUUUUAAGCUUAAUAGAGAUAAACUGAACAGAUUUACAUUUAGACUUAGUUUCACAUUCUUACAGAUUAUUUUUAGGGCUUGGUGAAUCAGGAGUGUUUUUAUGUCUUAGACAAACUUUAUUUUGUAAGAUACUUCUUUAUAUAAGCAAUAACCUCAAUUUGAGUUACUGUGGAAGACAAAUUUGUGAAGGAAAUGGAACCCAGCAGAUUUCUCAGAAAUAGUAUAUGUGAGAAACGCGACUUGUAUAAUGCAGUGAUUUCUAUAAUUCGUCAUAUGUUUGGGUAAUUAGAAAUUUUUCCAGCCUUAUAGUCAUUGAACAUCUAACCAUAAAGAAAUGAGACAAAUCUAGUUAAUAGCCCUAAAAACAACCCCAUGACUCUUAGGAAAAAAGAAUCCUGGCACUCCAUAGCAAUUUUAUUUACAACACUAGUAUUCGAGAAGUUGGUGAUGCCAGCUUCUGAAAGAAUAACCUCAGUGUCCUGGAGAAAACUUGGAUUAGGAAAAGUGAAAUUAGAAAUAAAUAUCCCAAGGUCAAGAUGUAAAAUCGAAAUGUCAGUAGCUAAUGAUUAAUCAGAAAAGUGAGCCCUCCUACAGUUUUUCUCAGUUUUUAAUGGGUUUGGAUAAAGCGGCACUGGAAAUCAUUUCAAGAACAAGUAUAUAAAUUUAGUCCAAUAUAAAUAUGUUCGUGAAUAUAGCCACUCAUGGAAACUACAGAGAUACACAAUUGUAAGCAGUUAUGUAAGUAGGUACUAUUCGUAAUUAAUAUGAUAUGGACUCUGAUGAUGCCCUAUGUUUUUGAACUUGCUGUAAAGGUGAAUCCUCAGUUCUGUCUUAAACACUUUAGGAAAUGCUCAUCAGUCACCCUCCUCACCCUUAACUCACGAUUUGAUGAAUUUGGCACAUAAGUGGUUACAAAUGGAAUAGCCUAGGGACUUGUUUUGAGCAACUCCACCACCAGAAGGUAAAACUCAGGAACCAUAAUCCUUGACAUAACCUAACCUAUUUUUUUCUUCACUUUGAGCCAAAGAAAAACUCAGCUUUACUCCUUCUUUACCCUGCAUUACCAGACUUAACCAUUAAUGUUGUAUUACAUUGGAUCUUUCAUAGUUUCUUAGCAAUUGUCCCCAAAGUUUAUUUUUUUGGCUUUGCCCACAGCAUACAGAAGUUCAUGGGCCAGGGACUGAACCCACGCCACAGCUGCAGCCAGUGCCACAUCAGUGACAACACAGGAUCUUUUCCCAGCUAGGCCACCAGGGAACUGCAAUAAAAACUUAUUUUAAGUUUUAAACA
rnacentral:lncRNA from 1 species